ensembl:lncRNA
GUGGUUGAUUUUUCAUGUAUUACUCAGUAAAAGUCAAAUAGAUAUGCUCAAUAAAGACUGUAUUCUUAUAUUGAAUACUACUUUAUUAAGUUGUAUGUCAGUACAUUUGAUGGUGAAAUUACAAUGUAAACACAUUAAUGAAUUUAUAGUGUGCUGAUUGGUAUACAUAAAUGUGUCCCAAAAUGUGUAUUGCAACACUCAAAUUAAUACACUAAACUAUCUUCAUUUGGCUAGUGCUUUUACGCAAAGUGACUUACAACUUGGCAGAUGAGGUAAAUGACCUUGCUCAAGGGCACAACAACGUUAAUGGUGCAGGAAUUUGACCUCACAACUGUCAGAUUAGUAACCCAAUGCCUUAACCACUGAGCUACGACUGUUCUACAUACAAUGGGCAAAAUGUUGGGCAUAACUCGGGGCACACAACCCAUCAUAGGGCACAAUUGUGCACACACGUUACGGAAGAUUUAGAGAUGCCAGUCAGCCUACAACGUGUGUCUUUGGACUGGGGGAGGAAACCCCUGAAGCACGGGGAGAACAUGCAAACUCCGUGCACACAGAGUGGAGGCAGGAUUCGAACCACCAACCCCCAGAGAAGCAACUUGAGAACAGAGAUGGGUGGGAGAGAAAACAGAAAAAAGAAAGAAGCAGUAUACAGAAGUCCAUCCUGCAGCCACUCAUCUCCCUGCUUCAACAAUGACCAAUAAAUGAGCUACAAAACUGUGCAGGACUCCUCCUACCAAGAAAUAUGUCUAAGCUUGGCUAGAAGUGUCUCGUUUCAUCCCCUCAUCCCUUUUUGAAAAUAAAUGAACUGUAUAGUAAUUGAUUGGGAUUGUUUGUACCGUUCACAACAAAGAUAAUAUAUUUGUUGUAUAUAUGUUUUAAAGUGAGUGCAUGUAUGCGUGUUCACCAUGAAUGUCUUUAUCUCUGAAACAAAGAAUAACCAUGAACCAUACUGAACAAGCCAAAAUCCCAGUAGUUACACUGACGUUACUGAAAUUCCAGUAGCUGCCGUGAUGUGAAUUGUAAUGUCUAGUGUCUUGUUAUCCUCAGCAUGCCAUAUCCAAAAACCUGCUACUAU